GCCAUCUGCACACAGCCAUUCCUCUUGCCUUUGCUGCUGCCUGAAUGUCCAGACCUUCUCCAGGCAGCUCUGUGAAGACCCGGGAGAGGCAGCAGCCAUGAAGAUCCUGUUUCUUCUCUUCCCCCUGAUCCUCCCGUUGGUGCAGGGUGCUGCAGGCAAUAGACAUGUAUGUAGGAAACUACAGGGAUUCUGCUCCAGGCAUUCUUGCCCUAUUGGUACACGUGCUCUGGGAAGAUGUGCAGGAGAAUUUUUGUGCUG